rnacentral:lncRNA from 1 species
UUCAAUACUUCUCCAUUAGUGCUUAGACCAUUGACUAUAUCUUUAAUUCUUGUAAAAAAUUCUUUGACAUACUUUAUUGGCCUCAUAUAAGCCAACUCAAAUUGACUCAUAAACUCUUGCAGUUUCUCCAUCUUUAUAUCAGCAACUCUUCGAUAUGACUUCACCAAGAUUGUCCACGCUUCUUUUGAUAACUUUGCAUGCAAAUAUUUUUUAGAUACAUGCAAUUAGACCUUGAUAGCGAGAUAGUAGCGUGCCUUAUAUUAAUUUAAAUGUCUCUUCUUCUCCAAUUACGUAGUUGCAUUACCCAUCAAUGUUGUGACUGCGGGGGGUUCCUCAAAUCCUUCGUCAAUGGUGGACCAUAAUCCAAUAGCCAUAAAAAAAUUCUUCAUAUGUUGAUACCAAGUUUCAAAAUUAUUUUUCCAUCAAACACAAAAACGGGACAAUCAGGUAAUAGAGUAUCCAUAUUUUUUAGGAUCUCCCGGCGGCUCUGUAGGAUCUCAUACAGGCUUUGACACCAAUUUGAAGGAUUGAAAUAUCCCGAAGUACAAUUUAGACACAAGUAAAAAAUUCAACAAAUGCUAUAUAGAAGAAAAUUUAUAAAACUUGAGAGAUAAUGUGGCAGGAGACUUUUUCAGAACUCAGAAACUCUUUAAUCUCUAUACAUCGUAGCCACCUCUCCACAAUUGAAAAUAUGUAUCAAAACCCUUAUUUAUAAUACUGCAAUCCAAAUUUGACUAGAAUAACAAAACCUAUUGCAAUAUAAAUUUGGUAAAUAAAACCUUACUAGACAUGAAUUAAAUAAAAUACCAACCAAAUCCUAGACAACUUAGGAAUACUAAUUAAUCUUGGUUUAAUUUUCAACAUAUAUAAAAUUUAUUUAAAAACUUGAAUUUUUUUAUCAAAAUAAAAGAAUUUAAAUCUCGAAAAGGGAAUACGACAUAAAUUGAAGCAGAAUUUAAGUUGCAAAUACUGAAAAUAAUUUUCUUCCUUCUUAAACUUCGUCUAAUCAAAUAUACCACAGAGAGGUACAAUCGAUAUUUUCUCCAUUCUCUUAAUUGUUAGAAAUAAAAGUUAGUGGACCCUACCGAGGACACUUCUACCGACCCGCAUUCUGAAUUCAGGUCUAUAAAUACCCUUUGACCCUUCAAUAUUUUUCUUACUCCUCUCCAUUAGCAGGUCAAUUUUGGAGAGAGAGAACCCAAAAACACAAUAGUAAUUUGUAACUUAUCUCUCUCCGUUACCUUCUUCCGUUCAUCGUCACCGGACCUAUAAUUGAAUCGAAUCGGGUCAAAACUGUUUUUAUAAAAAAUGGAUACAUAUUGUUCGGACUGCAAACGGAACACGGAGGUAGUAUUCGACCACGCCGCCGGCGAUACGGUUUGCUCGGAGUGUGGGCUGGUAUUGGAAUCCCGUUCAAUNNNNN